AGAGAGCGUGUGUUGUUUAGUAGAAUGAAUCAGAUAGAGCGUGUGUGUUGUUUAGUAGAAUGAAUCAGAUAGAGCGUGUGUUGUUUAGUAGAAUGAAUCAGAUAGAGCGUGUGUUGUUUAGUAGAAUGAAUCAGAUAGAGCGUGUGUUGUUUAGUAGAAUGAAUCAGAUAGAACGUGUGUGUUGUUUAGUAGAAUGAAUCAGAUAGAGCGUGUGUGUUGUUUAGUAGAAUGAAUCAGAUAGAGCGUGUGUGUUGUUUAGUAGAAUGAAUCAGAUAGAGCGAGUGUUGUUUAGUAGAAUGAAUCAGAUAGAGCAAGUGUGUUGUUUUA
ensembl:lncRNA